AUUCUGCACUGUGGUGAUGUAGAGAAUUUGAAAGUGGAGUUGCCGAUGCUUCCUCCAAGUCUCCUCAAGAUUGCUCUCCAUGUUGCUACAGUACCCUCUGCCACGGGCCAUCCCAGAGCACUCCCACGACAAGUGACCAUUGUGUAUUGGAACCGUCACUUGCUUUGCUUCUGCUGGACGCAAGCACUUACUUUGUUGAACUAAACUCAAUGGAUUGAAACUAUGAAGCUUAUCAAUACUAAGUAUUAAGUAGGUUUGGGUUCCAGAGACCAAGCUCAGGUUUUCAGGGCUGUGAGGCAAAUGCUUUGACCCACCGGGCUAUCUUGCUGGUCCAAAUAGAUGCAUUUUGCUACAGAUCAGCUGAGUUUUUACCCUUAACUUUCAAGAUACACUAUUUUUCAAGAUAGGUACACUUAAACACUUUGAAUUUAUAUUUUUUAAAGACUCAUUUAUUUUAAUACGCAUGGAGCUAGGCCUGCAUAUAUGUCUGUAUGUGGACAUCACAUCCCCUGGAACGGGAGUUACAGACAGUUGUGAGCUGCCAUGUAGGUGCUGGGAAUUGAACCCAGGCCCUCUGGAAGAGCAGCCAGUGCUCUUAACUGCUGAGUCAUCUCUCCAGCCCCUUGAAUUCAUAUUUUUAAAUUGUUCUCUAGGAAGAUUGAAUGUGACAUCGAGGUAGGUGUCUUUCUACAAAUUUAGCGAAGCAUGUCCUUCACCUCUGUCAGCAGUGGAAUGAUUCCCUGAAAGGUCCAGUCCUGUGAACUAGAGAAGCUAUGUCUGGACCAAGCAGCCUGACAUUUGCUUUUCUAGGCAGUGAAAUCUGAGAGAAGCAGGGAAGGAGAUUCUCGGUUUACCUCCAACUUUACGCCUGAUGGCUGCCGGUCGUGAUUUCCAUACCCACAACCCCUGGCUUUUUUGGAAAGCAUUUUGUUUGAUUCUAAUUUGGAAGAUCUUUUUUAAUUGGCUGACACCCUACACCAUUACUUUAUAUCCCUAGCUGAAAAAUGACAUUAAAAAAAAAUCCAUUUCCCUGAAAACCCCUCCGGUCUUGAGAUUAGUUCUCACCCCCGUGUGGAUCAUCACGGCUGCAGCUUCCUAAGGGAUUACUCACAUGAGCAAGAACAGUCACUCUGCAUGGAAAGAUUGAGAGCCGCUAGUCCGCGGAACCUAAUUUAGAAAUAACCUGCAAGCACUAGUUAGCGACUAAUGAAGGUUAACUGAGCCCUCCCUGGAGAC
rnacentral:lncRNA from 1 species